rnacentral:rRNA from 1 species
UGCCAGCAGCCGCGGUAAUACGGAGGGGGUUAGCGUUGUUCGGAAUUAUUGGGCGUAAAGGGUGCGUAGGCGGAUUAGUAAGUUAGGGGUGAAAUCCCGGGGCUCAACCCCGGAACUGCCUCUAAUACUGCUAGUCUUGAGUUCGAGAGAGGUGAGUGGAAUUCCGAGUGUAGAGGUGAAAUUCGUAGAUAUUCGGGGGAACACCAGUGGCGAAGGCGGCUCACUGGCUCGAUACUGACGCUGAGGUGCGAAAGCUAGGGUAGCGAACAGGAUUAGAUA